rnacentral:rRNA from 1 species
UACGUAGGGGGCUAGCGUUGUCCGGAAUCAUUGGGCGUAAAGAGCGCGUAGGCGGUCUGUUAAGUGAGAAGUGAAAGCUCCGGGCUCAACUCGGAAAUGGCUUUUCAUACUGGCAGACUGGAGUGAUGCAGAGGUUUGUGGAAUUCCUGGUGUAGCGGUGAAAUGCGUUGAUAUCAGGAGGAACACCCAUGGCGAAGGCAGCAAACUGGGCAUCAACUGACGCUGAGGCGCGAAAGCGUGGGUAGCAAACAGG